rnacentral:rRNA from 1 species
AGUUUACAACUCCCAAACCCCUGUGAACAUACCAAUUGUUGCCUCGGCGGAUCAGCCCGCUCCCGGUAAAACGGGACGGCCCGCCAGAGGACCCCUAAACUCUGUUUCUAUAUGUAACUUCUGAGUAAAACCAUAAAUAAAUCAAAACUUUCAACAACGGAUCUCUUGGUUCUGGCAUCGAUGAAGAACGCAGCAAAAUGCGAUAAGUAAUGUGAAUUGCAGAAUUCAGUGAAUCAUCGAAUCUUUGAACGCACAUUGCGCCCGCCAGUAUUCUGGCGGGCAUGCCUGUUCGAGCGUCAUUUCAACCCUCAAGCCCAGCUUGGUGUUGGGACUCGCGAGUUAAAUCGCGUUCCCCAAAUUGAUUGGCGGUCACGUCGAGCUUCCAUAGCGUAGUAGUAAAACCCUCGUUACUGGUAAUCGUCGCGGCCACGCCGUUAAACCCCAACUUCUGAAUGUUGACCUCGGAUCAGGUAGGAAUACCCGCUGAACUUAAGCAUAUCAA